rnacentral:rRNA from 1 species
CGGCGUGCUUCAUACAUGCAAGUCGAACGAGAAUCUGGCUUCGGUCAGAGGAAAGUGGCGGACGGGUGAGUAAUGUGUAGAGAAUCUGCCCUUAGUGGGGACAACAGUUGGAAACGACUGCUAAUACCCCAUAUGCGCGUAGCUGAGAUGCUAUUCGUGAAAACUCCGGUGCUAAAGGAUGAGUCUGCAUCUGAUUAGCUAGUUGGCGGUGUAAUGGACCACCAAGGCGACGAUCAGUAGCUGGUUUGAGAGGAUGAUCAGCCACAAUGGGACUGAGACACGGCCCAUACUCCUACGGGAGGCAGCAGUAGGGAAUUUUGCGCAAUGGGGGAAACCCUGACGCAAGCAACGCCGCGUGAUUGAAUAAGCCCUUCGGGGUGUAAAGAUCUGUCAGUAGGGACGAAACUUGACGGUACCUACAGAGGAAGCAUCGGCUAACUCCGUGCCAGCAGCUGC